GCCGGUGAUUAUUGCGAAAGUGUUAUACCCGACCCCAUUCCGAACUCGGAAGUCAAGCCUUUCAGCGCCGAUGGUACUUUGUCUUAAGAUAUGGAAGAGUAGGACGUCGCCGGCA
rnacentral:rRNA from 1 species